UAUUAAAAAUUUCAUCUAUUUUUACUGUGAAAAACUAGUGUGGCUGAUGGAAUAAUCAGAUAGUUACACGUGAUCACGUGUACCUCAUUCUGACGUACAAGAGCUAGUUUUUAACAAUAGAAAUAGAUGAAGUUUUUAGUA
rfam:Gossypium raimondii Chr10_contig_36, whole genome shotgun sequence.